AUCACUUCUCGGCCUUUUGGCUAAGAUCAAGUGUAGUAAAAUGUCUGACUAGUAACCCAAAUGUUAUCAAUGAAGAUAUUAAAUAAGCUCAUGGCAAUUCAGGGCAGGGUCUUCUUCCAAAAGAGUUCUCCUCAGACUUAAAAAAAUUUUUUUUAGUUUUAGAGUGUUUUGGAUUUCAG
rnacentral:snRNA from 1 species